UACGCAGGUGGCAAGCGUUAUCCGGAUUUAUUGGGCGUAAAGGGAACGCAGGCGGUCUUUUAAGUCUGAUGUGAAAGCCUUCGGCUUAACCGGAGUAGUGCAUUGGAAACUGGGAGACUUGAGUGCAGAAGAGGAGAGUGGAACUCCAUGUGUAGCGGUGAAAUGCGUAGAUAUAUGGAAGAACACCAGUGGCGAAAGCGGCUCUCUGGUCUGUAACUGACGCUGAGGUUCGAAAGCGUGGGUAGCGAACAGG
rnacentral:rRNA from 1 species